UUACUCACCUGGCAAGGAAGACACCAUGAUCAUGCAGUUGCUUUUCCCAGGGCAAGGCUUGCCCACUCAUUGCGCUGGGAUUUGCUGACCCCUAUGAUUUCCAUAAAUGUGGGGAACUCGGCUGCAUUAUUUGUAUUAGUGGGGGACUGUUUUUCACACUUUCCUCUG